rnacentral:pre_miRNA from 1 species
AGUGGUAUAACUGGGUCAAAUGGUAGUUCCAUUCCUAGUUUUUUGAGGAAUCUACAUAACUGCUUUCCAGAGUGGUUGCAUCAAUUUGCAGUUCCACCAGCAAU